AUGUUGGCUUAGAAGCAGCCAUCAUUUAAAGAAAGCGUAAUAGCUCACUGGUCGAGUCGGCCUGCGCGGAAGAUGUAACGGGGCUAAGUAGUAAACCGAAGCUGCGGCAAUGCACUUUGUGCAUUGGGUAGGGGAGCGUUCUGUAAGCGGUUGAAGGUGUGUGGUAACGCAUGCUGGACGUAUCAGAAGUGCGAAUGCUGACAUGAGUAACGAUAAAGGGGGUGAAAAACCUC
rnacentral:rRNA from 1 species